GAAAUGCGAUAAGUAGUGUGAAUUGCAGAAUUCAGUGAAUCAUCGAAUCUUUGAACGCACAUUGCGCCCCUUGGUAUUCCAUGGGGCAUGCCUGUUCGAGCGUCAUUUGUACCCUCAAGCUUUGCUUGGUGUUGGGUGUUUGUCCUCUCUGGAGGACUCGCCUUAAAACAAUUGGCAGCCGGCAUAUUGGUAUCGGAGCGCAGCACAAGUCGCGCUUCUUUCCAUGAAUGUCAGCAUCCAUCAAGACAAUUUUCACUCUUGACCUCGGAUCAGGUAGGGAUACCCGCUGAACUUAA
rnacentral:misc_RNA from 1 species